rnacentral:rRNA from 1 species
UACGUAGGAUGCAAGCGUUGUCCGGAAUUAUUGGGCGUAAAGAGCGCGCAGGCGGUAUGACAAGUCAGAUGUGAAAGAGGCCAGCUUAACCGGCAAGGGUCAUUUGAAACUGUCAGACUAGAGUGCAGCAGAGGAUAGUGGAAUUCCCGGUGUAGUGGUGAAAUGCGUAGAUAUCGGGAGGAACACCAGUGGCGAAGGCGACUAUCUGGGCUGCAACUGACGCUGAGGCGCGAAGGCUAGGGUAGCAAACAGG